UUAGGAAUCUUCCCCAAUGGGCGCAAGCCUGAGGGAGCGACACUGCGUGAAGGAUGAAGGUUUUCGGAUCGUAAACUUCUGAACGAGGGACGAAUAAUGACGGUACCUCGCUAAAAGCACCGGCUAACUCCGAGCCAGCAGCCGCGGUAAUACGGAGGGUGGAAGCGUUAUCCGGAAUCACUGGGCGUAAAGGGCACGUUGGCGGUCUAGUAAGUCCGAUGUUAAAGCGUGGGGCUCAACCCCAUCACGGCGUUGGAUACUGCUAGGCUUGACGACUGGAGAGGUGAGUAGAAUUACCAGUGUAGCGGUGGAAUGCGUAGAUACUGGUAGGAAUACCCAUUGCGAAGGCAGCUCACUGGACAGUACGUGACGCUGAGGUGCGAAAGUGUGGGGAGCAAACCGGAUUAGAUACCCGCGUAGUCC
rnacentral:rRNA from 1 species